rnacentral:lncRNA from 1 species
GCUUUCGUCUGCACCUUUUGUGCUGUGUCGGGAUGCAUUUAGGGUUAGGGUGACGACGACAAGUCUAGCUUAGAUAGUAUAAUCAUUGAUUACGUGAAAAAGAUAGCCCCAUAAAAUAACAAAAUAAUUGACUCAAUCAAUCGAAUAUGAAAAGCUACAGGCACUCAGAAUUCACGGAAUAUUUACUUUUGACUCUGUGCUGAACAAGGGUGGCUUAAACUGGAAGGAACUAGUCAGUGACAGCAGUAAGAAGCUACAGAUUUCUUCUUCUUCUUCUUCUUUCUAUGGUUAUCAUAAAAGUAAUGUGCUGUUCAUUGCAGGGUGGAGAGAACCGAAAGCAACUGAUCGAUGAGACAAAGACAAUUGCUCAAGUCACGCUCUAGUGGCGUUCGAUCAAUUGGGAAGUAGGGCACGGCACCUUCGUCGUCCCGCGCGCAUGCAUGGCCCCCGGGGGGGAGGGUUUGACAAAAACCUGCGAUCACAGAUGAAUGCCCUUCCCAC